rfam:Eubacterium sp. CAG:86 genomic scaffold, scf68
UGAGUAGUGCGGAUAAUCGCGGCUGCAAUUGCCGAAAGGCAGCAGGUGAGGAAAGUCCGGGCUUCGCAGGGCAGGAUGCCAGAUAACGUCUGGUGGAGGUGACUCCAAGGAUAGUGCAACAGAAAUAAACCGCCUGUUUUACAGGUAAGGGUGGAAAGGCAGUGUAAGAGACUACCGCGUUGCCGGUAACGGCAAUGGUCCAUGUAAACCCCAUCCGAAGCAAGUCCAAGAAAAAGCUAUACGGCUGCCCGUCGUGCUUUUAGGUAGGACGCUUGAGUGUAUCGGCGACGAUGCAACUAGAUAGAUGAUUAUCACACAUUUAUAUGUGGACAUAACCCGGCUUAUAGUGCUGCUCAUUAU